CUAUAUAUACCGCAUCGCGUCCCACUUCCUGUUCAAUCUUCAAUCCUUCAUUUUCUCUUUAAACUCAUAUCUUUUGUUUGAAUCUUUGUUCUAAAAUUUUCAUUUCUUUUACCGAAUUUAUUGCUCGAUCGAAGAUGAAUUCAAUGUUGAGCGCUAAAUCGUGGAGUUUCUCCAUUAUCGGAUUUAUGCUGAUGGCGUUAAUCCGGUACAGUAACGGACAAGGAAUGGCGCCGUCGCCGGCACCGGCUGGUCCUUCCAACGACGGCGCGGCAAUUGAUCAAGGGAUUGCAUAUGUUCUCCUAUUUGUAGCACUCGCGAUCACGUACUUAAUCCACUGAUGUUAGUAAUUAUUUUAAAAGUUUGAAAUUAUAUUAUUAGUGCGAUUAAUUCAAUUUUAUUUUUUUUAAUGUAUUUUCUCCUAUUAUUGAGAGUAUAAAUUUGAAUUAUUUGUAUUUUCAAAUUUUCACCACUAUUGUAAAGAAACUAGUUUUAUGCCAAUGCAAUGCACGAGUUGCUGUUUUCUUAAA